rnacentral:rRNA from 1 species
CGGUACGUACNCACAGAGUCGGGAUAACACCUGGAAACAGAUGCUAAUACCGGAUAACAACAGAUGAUGCCUAUCAACUGUUUAAAAGAUGGUUCUGCUAUCACUCUUGGAUGGACCUGCGGUGCAUUAGCUAGUUGGUAGGGUAACGGCCUACCAAGGCGAUGAUGCAUAGCCGAGUUGAGAGACUGAUCGGCCACAUUGGGACUGAGACACGGCCCAAACUCCUACGGGAGGCAGCAGC